UACAGAGGGUGCGAGCGUUUAUCGGAAUUACUGGGCGUAAAGGGUGCGUAGGUGGUUUGAUAAGUCAGGUGUGAAAUCCCCGGGCUUAACCUGGGAAUUGCAUUUGAUACUGUCAAACUAGAGUGUGAUAGAGGUAAGCGGAAUUCCCGGUGUAGCGGUGAAAUGCGUAGAUAUCGGGAGGAACAUCAGUGGCGAAGGCGGCUUACUGGAUUAACACUGACACUGAGGCACGAAAGCGUGGGUAGCAAACAGG
rnacentral:rRNA from 1 species